rnacentral:rRNA from 1 species
UACGUAGGGUGCGAGCGUUAAUCGGAAUUACUGGGCGUAAAGCGUGCGCAGGCGGUCUGUUAAGACCGAUGUGAAAUCCCCGGGCUUAACCUGGGAAUUGCAUUUGUGACUGUACGGCUAGAGUGUGUCAGAGGGGGGUAGAAUUCCACGUGUAGCAGUGAAAUGCGUAGAGAUGUGGAGGAACACCGAUGGCGAAGGCAGCCCCCUGGGUCAAGAUUGACGCUCAUGCACGAAAGCGUGGGGAGCAAACAGG